UACGUAGGUGGCAAGCGUUGUCCGGAAUUAUUGGGCGUAAAGCGCGCGCAGGUGGUUUCUUAAGUCUGAUGUGAAAGCCCACGGCUCAACCGUGGAGGGUCAUUGGAAACUGGGGAACUUGAGUACAGAAGAGGAAAGUGGAAUUCCGAGUGUAGCGGUGAAAUGCGUAGAGAUUUGGAGGAACACCAGUGGCGAAGGCGACUUUCUGGUCUGUAACUGACACUGAGGCGCGAAAGCGUGGGGAGCGAACAGG
rnacentral:rRNA from 1 species